rnacentral:rRNA from 1 species
UACAGAGGGUGCAAGCGUUAAUCGGAUUGACUGGGCGUAAAGGGCGCGUAGGCGGUUAUUUAAGUUGGAUGUGAAACCCCCGGGCUUAACCUGGGACGUGCAUACAAGACUGGAUAACUGGAGUACUGUAGAGGGUAGUGGAAUUUCCGGUGUAGCGGUGAAAUGCGUAGAGAUCGGGAGGAACACCGGUGGCGAAGGCGGCGACCUGGGUAGAUACUGACGCUGAGGCGCGAAAGCGUGGGGAGCAAACAGG